GAAAAUUUCGGCAUUUCAUCGCCGCCAUGUUGAAAGUAAUUGGUUCUGCAGCCGGGUGCGUUCUGCAUGGAAGAAAUAAAUUCAAGAUUUUCUUCCACUUAGUAGUGAACAUGAUCCGACGAACAUCCUCUGGUCCAAAAAGGAUACCGAAAUGUGGAAAGUUUGUCGGAACUGCAAAUGCAGGAUUUGCGAGCUUACUUAUAAGCCCGUUUAGUUGGACUGGAUUCCACCUAAUGUGACUCUGGAGCUGGCUUCGGGUUUUACGACUCAGCUGGAGCAACCGAAUAUACCCAUAGCUGGUAGUGAUGCAGCGGAAAAGUGAAAACAGCAGCUAGAAUAUCAAGUUCUUUUCCAUGAUCUGGAUGCCAGUUGCCAUUUAGGAAUCCUAAUCCGACGAACAUCCUUUGGUCCAGUAAGGAUGCCGAAAUCUGAGGAUCCUCAGAUAAUCGGGAGCUGAAUAUUAAUCAGACCAGGUGCUGCGCAAUUGUUCCACCAUGAUAUUUUGAUGGUACGCGGUAAUUUUCCGUACUAUCUGGGG